GUCAUAUAAUAAUUAGGGUAAAAAUAAUCUGUAAAAAGAAAAGAAAAAAAAAGAAGAAGAGAAGAAAGGAAAGCCGCACAUCGAAGGCAGCAACCUCAGGUACUACUAACCUUCGUAACUCCUUCCAAUUUAUUUUCUAUUGGGUAGUUGCUAAUUAAUGUCCCUUUUGAAUUUAUAUAAGUAUUAGAUGGAUUCAAGAUACAAUAAUAUAUUCAUCAAUGUAAUGAUUGAGGAUAAUGGUGGAUAGUUAAUGGUUGGGAUAUGAAAUCUAUAUUAUUUUAAUGUUAAGUUUAGAAUUAGUUUAUAAUAAUGUUAAUUGGAAAGAGGCGAAUUGACCAACUCCUCUUUUUACCUGUGAUAACAAAUUAUAAACUUCAAUAUGUGCCUUUGAUGAAAUUGAAAAGUAAAACAUUUAAAAUUUUGUAAUGGAGAAACAUAAAUGCUACUGUUAAGGUGCUCAAUAAAUUGAGUUUUCUUUUUAUAUAUAUGAAUUGAAUUUUGAGCUUACCACUGGUUUCGUCACCAGUGGUAUAGGAAUUAAGCUUACUAAUAUUAUUAUCAUGUUAUUAAGUUAAGUUGUUAAUAUAUUGAGAUAGGUAAUUAAACAUUAGGUUUAUUGAAUUACUUAAUUUUCAUUAAAUUGUGUUAAUGGGAGGAAUUAAGAUCUAACCUUAGACUUGAAUUUUGGAAAAUUGAUUAUAUAAUUAGGUGAAUUUUUGGGUCUAGGCUAAACAUAGACUAAUUCGAGUGUUUAUAGACUUGUUAACUUACAAAUUGUGCAUAUAUAUACUAGAUAGAUUGGAAAGGUUCGGAGACAUAGAUAGAUUGGAAAGGUUCGGAGACAAUAAGAAAAGGAAAAGCAUUGGAGAAGUAGUUACUUGACUUCGAUUCUUCAGUGGAGGUAGGUUAUGGUUUAUGCUAUUUGAUAGUAAACUCUUAAUAGUGAUUGAUAUGCCUUGAAUAAUAUUGUGAAGUUCUCUAUGUACUUGGCUGUGUGAUUGUGUGAUUUGGUUGUGUGGUUUGUGAUUGGUUUGAAAUCCUGAGACCGUAGAAUUUAUAUUCUCUAACCCUCUCUAUCGAAGUGAUGCCUUGAAUAAAGAAGGCUUGAUGAAAAUAAUAUAACAAUGAAUUGAAAGCGGUGAUAAUAAAGGAUAAAUUAAAAGUAUAAUUGGAUCGGAGUGUCACGUUCCGACACGGUAUUCUUGGAUCGGAGUGUCACGUUCCGACACGGUAUUCUUGGAUCGGAGUGUCAUGUUCCGACACAGUAUUCUUGGAUCGGAGUGUCACGUUCCGACACAAUAAUAUUAAAGGAAAAACAUGUUGAAUUAAUGGAAGGUACUCAAUCUCAAAGAACUCAACUCCCAAAAUGGUUUGGUUUGGAGGCAUGAUUCCUCAUGUGUGAUCUUGAUACCGUUGACUUAAUACAUGCUUACUUUAUUGUUAUUGACUCUUGUUCAUGUUGUUUGUUGCUUAUCACAUGUUUAGUGCUAUAGUUGAGUUCAUACUAUUAUUCUUUGUAUAUUAGUUACUAUUUUGGGUUGACCGAUGAUACUUACUCAGUACAUGUUGCCUCGUACUGAGUCCUACUUGUUUUCUUCUUUGUUUUCCUUUUAUGAAAUGCAGCGAGUGUACCUAUGACUUCUGAUUUCCCUUAGCUCUAGCCAGCCUCCCGCAUAUCAAGUUACAGGGUGAGCUAUCCGUUCAAGCUCGUGUUGGAUUCUCUCGGUCAUGACAUGAUGUCCUAUAGUUUCGGACACAUACUAUUUUAUUCUUUAUUUUAGUGUAUUCGAUAUUCUUAGACUUAGUAAUGGAGAUUAGAUGUCUUUGAUGUGAUGACUAUCAGAUUUUUGGAUAAUAAGUAUUAAACUUUAGAAACUUAUUUAAAUUGGUUACUUAGUAUCUUUUGGAGCUUCCACAUUAUUUAUAUUAAUUAUAGUUGAACUAUUGCUAUAUGUUGGGGUUUAGAUGUUUGGUUCGCCUACCUAAGGAGGUAAGUGUGGGUGCCACUCAUGACUCGUUUUGGGUCGUGACAUUAAAUUUUUUGAAUAUGAGACUUGGUAUAUUAGUUAACAUCAAGAGUUAUGAAUCUUAGUCGUUGAUUGGGAUGAGUUUUUGGGACUAUGAUAGACAAAUAACAAUAUGGGUGUCUAUGAACUUAUUUGCUUACAGAUAUUACAUAUUUGAUUGUUUGGGAAUAUUUUGAAGAUUUACGAAAAGGCAAAAUCUUGAGAGUCGUGACACAUGUUCAACAUUCAAAGGUAUGUUAAGACUUUUACACUUCUUUGAAGGACACUUUUCUAAUUAAAGAUUAAAAAUAGAAUAGACUAUGGGUAAGGGUGAAAGAUGAGGGUCUCGUACCAAUGAUGUGACGGGCAUUGGUACAAAUACCAGUGGUAUAAAUGAAAAUUUUAUUACUAUAGAGUGUGAAUUGUAAUCCGAGAAUGCCAAAACAUAUAGGCAUUAGCUGAAGUAAUAUUGACUUUAAUUCUUCAUGUGAUUGUGUUUCUUUAUUGAACUCGUAUAUUUGUGAUAAUUGAGGUGGUUAUGUAUUAUGUUGAUAUUUGAUUGAUUGAGAUGCACUAUCAUCCCAUUUAUUUGAAAUCAUAUAGUUCACAUGUAUUGACAUGAGAUUGAGUAUAAGAUGGGAACGUAGAGAUCGUCAGUGAUGGAGAUGGUGGAAUGUUAAGAUUAUAAUUUGGGCACGUGGAGAUCGUCCAUGUAAAAAUUAUUUGAUUUUAUGAUAGUGUGUUGGAUCAUCCUCACCGACAUGUUGAGAUCGUCUAUGUCGGUAUGUGGACCUCACGAGUCCCCCAUGAGUCAUGAACUAUCAAUGUAUUUUCGAGGAGUAUAAUGUAUAUAUGGUUGAAAGAGUAGUUGGCAUUGGACAUAUCAUUACAUAGUGUCACAUUGCAUUGCAUCUUAUUAACCUCAUUUAAAAUUGUUGAUUUCGUGUGUUUAUUGGUGGUUGUACAUUACUGGGUACACGUAAUUUUGUACUCAUACUAUACUUGUUGCACUCUAUGUGGUGCGAAUUCGGUUUCGAGUACGAGCACAUGUCGUGGAGCUUCUUGAGUUUGUGCUUGGAGUAUUUUGGAGUUGUGGUGAGUUGCUUGGUCGUUCCGUGCCCCCCCCACAUCUUUUAUUUAUUCUGUUUUUAGUGUUCAGACGGGACAUCCCUUAUGUUUGUAUUUCUCAUUUUAGUUUCAAACUUGCACUACAUUUAGUUCUUGUACAUAUGACACCAACUCUUUAGUAGUAUUUUAGUUUUUCGCAUUUCGUACUUAUGAAGAAUUAAGUGUUGGAGUUUUUUUAAUUUAUUUAUUUUAUUCGUUGUUCACCUUUUUUACCUUACUAGUUUCUGAAACGUGCGUUGCACGUUUGUCCCUUACAAUUAUUAUAUAGAAUGUUGAAAUUAGAAAUAUUAAUUUUAACAAUUUAUAUUUUUUUUAUUAAAUAAAAUUCAUAAUAAUCGAAUAGUACAUUGACCAUCAAGCAAGAAAUAUGAAUAUAAUUAUAUUACUA
rnacentral:lncRNA from 1 species